rnacentral:snRNA from 1 species
GUGCUUGCUUCAGCAGCACAUAUACUAAAAUUAGAAUGAUACAGAGAUUAGCAAUACCCCUCCACAAGGAUGACAUGCAAACUCAUAAAGCAUUCCAUAUUUUA